rnacentral:rRNA from 1 species
GAUGAACGCUGGCGGCGUGCCUAAUACAUGCAAGUCGAGCGAACAGAUGAGGAGCUUGCUCCUCUGACGUUAGCGGCGGACGGGUGAGUAACACGUGGAUAACCUACCUAUAAGACUGGGAUAACUUCGGGAAACCGGAGCUAAUACCGGAUAAUAUAUUUAACCGCAUGGUUCAAUAGCGAAAGACGGUUUUGCUGUCACUUAUAAAUGUCUCCGCGUCGAUUUAGCUAUUUGGUAAGGUAACGGCUUACCAAGGCAACGAUGAGUAGCCGACGUGAGAGGGUGAUGGCCCAAAUUGGACCUGGGCCCAGCCCAAGCUCCCUCAGGGAGGAAGAAGAAGGGAACUUUGCGAAAUGGGCGAAAGCCUGCCGGAGAACCGCGCGGUGAGGGAUGAAGGUCUUGGGACCGUAAACUCUUGUUAUUAGGGAAGACCAAAUGUGUAAGUAACUAUGCACGUAUUGACGGUACCUACUCAGAAAGCCACGGCUAACUACGUG